ACCUAUUUCAAAAUAUUAAAUUAAUUGUUAUUUAUUUUUGGUUAUUAAUAUGACUAUUUUCAAAGUUACGAUAAAAUGAUUGAAGUUGGCGAAAAUCAAAGGUGUUGGUAAAGUUUACCCUUUCUUACAAAUUACCGGAAACUAAAAAUAAAAAUAAAUGUUGAACUGUAAUCGCAGAAAAUUAAGCUAUUUGGAUCGUUCGGGCUUGAAAGUGUACAAAAGGUUAAUGAGAGAUUGAGAGUGUUGGAAUCCCUUGUCAACUAGAAAGUUGUACACCUACCUACAAAGUACUUGGCAUUUGAGUAGGUAUUAGAAUAAUAACAGUUUUUUAAAAUAUAAAUACAUCUUCUUGAAAAAACAUGCGUACUAAAAUACUAAUUGAAAUUAUAUAUCCAACAUUAAUUAAAAUAACGAAUAAAACAAUGUACAUGUUUGUAUUUUAUUGAAAAGUAUCAUCGAUUUAAAUAAUAAUAAAUAAAAUGGUAUUGAGAAGUUCAAGUAGUCUUCGGUACGUAUCACCAAUGCAUGAAGUAUAUUGGGUAGGUACAUAAUACAUUUUACUGACGACGGCACUUAAUAAAACGGUUCCACAACCAAUAGUAUAAUUAAGAAAUGCUAUGCAAUGAAAUAUUGUGACAAUCAAACGUUUCGUAAUAUUACGAAAAUGCCAAGCAUAUGAUAAUUAUAAUCUACCAUGCAAAUUUUAUUUGCUACACAAACAACAGUAUAAUAAGAUUGUUUGCAUGUCUACGUGAUGCUGAUAUCGUUAGCGGGAAGAAAAUUUAAAUUAUUAUAAAUUGAUGCUUUAAAAGUUAAAAAUUUUCUAUUAAAAUUAAAAUGUGUUUAAUAUAUCUAUAACUCUUAAGUAUGAUGGCUGAUAAGCGUUCCAUUUGAUAACCAAAACUUAUUAUGUUAUCAAUAUUAUCAUUUCAUUCGAUGUAUUAUCUUGAUCGCAACUUUAAUUUGCUGUUGCGGCAUCUAACUUUUUUACUACUUUCGAUGUUGCUCAGUUUAGAUUUUCCUACUCUAGAUUAAUAAUACUCGAGUGUGUGGUAAUCACACCACAACAUUUUGAUUUCUACCCAUUCAUACUUAAUAAAUUCGACACUCAAUGAUUUACAAUUUAUGUAAAUUUUCAAAAUAUACUUAAUGCAAUUCUAUUACUCAAGUCAUCGUUUAAUGAUUGUUUAAUGUUUAAAGAAAAUAAGUAUUUGGAACUAGUAUGUUAAUAUUAAUUAGUGCAGUUUGUGACAGACUCACUAUCAUUUUAAUUUAGUAUAAAAUUAAUUCAAUAAAUAAUUAUCCUACCAAGUUAUGUGAUAUCAAUACUAGUAUUGUAGGUAAUGAAGAUGCAAGUGUAUGAAGAGUUGUACAAGCGUUUUUCAAAUUUAAAGGAUUUUUGCGUAUGGAAUGAUAUUUAAUAAGUUAGAAUAUAGUUAUAGAGUUAUUAGAUUAAAAUAAUUUUAUUAAUAAUUAAAAUAUGAAAAAAUGUAAACCUAAUUAGACUUAUUAGGUGUGAUUAAGUGUGAUUGUUGAACUUAGAAAUUAGAGCCAUUGUUAAUGUUAAACAAGUUAAAUGUAGAUUAUAUACAAUUAAAUAAUUAUUUUAACUUGGUAAGUUUAUUUAGUAUAUUUUUUUAAUUUCAAUUGAAAAAAAAGAAGUGACUAGUUUAAUAAAACUUACCUAAGCUUUAGUGCAUUAAUUAAUAUAUGCUAUACAAUAAUUUGAAAUAUUUUAUAAUUAUUAAGUAAAAAUCAUACAUAUAUUAUGUUUUAUUAUUUUAAAUGUUAACACAGUAUACUGGUGUAUGCUUAACGGUCUAUGAUCAAUAAAGGAAAUUAAAGCUUGUUAAAAAUUGUGUAUAGCUUAAAUUGCCUUAUUAAGUUCCCCUUUGAUAUGUGUUACUAGGUUUAAACUGUGUUAUAUUAAGCAACUCCCCUUUUCUCCUUGUUCUUUUAUAUCAAUAUAAAACAAAAUAAUGAAAA